GACUUCGGUCUGGUGGCGAGUGGCGAACGGGUGAGUAAUAUAUCGGAACGUACCCUGGAGUGGGGGAUAACGCAGCGAAAGUUGCGCUAAUACCGCAUACGAUCUACGGAUGAAAGUGGGGGCUCGCAAGACCUCAUGCUCGUGGAGCGGCCGAUAUCUGAUUAGCUAGUUGGUAGGGUAAAAGCCUACCAAGGCUUCGAUCAGUAGCUGGUCUGAGAGGACGACCAGCCACACUGGGACUGAGACACGGCCCAGACUCCUACGGGAGGCAGCAGUGGGGAAUUUUGGACAAUGGGGGCAACCCUGAUCCAGCAAUGCCGCGUGAGUGAAGAAGGCCUUCGGGUUGUAAAGCUCUUUUGUCAGGGAAGAAACGGUGAAGGCUAAUACUCUUUGCUAAUGACGGUACCUGAAGAAUAAGCACCGGCUAACUACGUGCCAGCAGCCGCGGUAAUACGUAGGGUGCAAGCGUUAAUCGGAAUUACUGGGCGUAAAGCGUGCGCAGGCGGUUAUGUAAGUCAGAUGUGAAAUCCCCGGGCUCAACCUGGGAAUGGCAUUUGAGACUGCAUGGCUAGAGUGUGUCAGAGGGGGGUAGAAUUCCACGUGUAGCAGUGAAAUGCGUAGAUAUGUGGAGGAAUACCGAUGGCGAAGGCAGCCCCCUGGGAUAACACUGACGCUCAUGCA
rnacentral:rRNA from 1 species